rnacentral:rRNA from 1 species
GACGAACGCUGGCGGCGCGCCUAACACAUGCAAGUCGAACGAGCGAGAGAGAGCUUGCUUUCUCGAGCGAGUGGCGAACGGGUGAGUAACGCGUGAGGAACCUGCCUCAAAGAGGGGGACAACAGUUGGAAACGACUGCUAAUACCGCAUAAGCCCACAGCUCGGCAUCGAGCAGAGGGAAAAGGAGCAAUCCGCUUUGAGAUGGCCUCGCGUCCGAUUAGCUAGUUGGUGAGGUAACGGCCCACCAAGGCAACGAUCGGUAGCCGGACUGAGAGGUUGAACGGCCACAUUGGGACUGAGACACGGCCCAGACUCCUACGGGAGGCAGCAGUGGGGAAUACUGCACAAUGGGGGAAACCCUGAUGCAGCGACGCCGCGUGGAGGAAGAAGGUCUUCGGAUUGUAAACUCCUGUUGUUGAGGAAGAUAAUGACGGUACUCAACAAGGAAGUGACGGCUA